AUACUUUAAUUUUCUGCAUACAAUCCUCCACAGAUUUGCCGUUGAGACACGUAAUAUCAGGAAUAAUUUUUUUGCUUUUGAAAGCCACGGCCAUGUCUGCGCAUUUCUGCUGCUCUCCAUGAGACAGGACACACCAGUCCCACAGAGUUCAGAGGAACAGCUUGCAUAAUCUGGUGUCCACAUUAACAAUGUCAGAUUGAAAAAGACUAUGAAAAGAAGAGCAUACCAUCUGCUGCAGACUCUCCAGCUGCGAUUUUGAAGCUAGCUUGCUUAGCAAUGUCAUAUAUGUCUUUAACAUUGGCUGAAAAAGCAUCAACUUCAUUUUUCUGAAAAAGGGAAUAUUUAUGACAAAAUACAACAAUUUAAUAAUAAAAAAAUUAAAAUGUAAUGAUUCAACAAGCUUGUACUUUGUUAAUAAAUGAAGAUUAUGA